rnacentral:rRNA from 1 species
UGCAAGUCGAGCGAACUGAUUAGAAGCUUGCUUCUAUGACGUUAGCGGCGGACGGGUGAGUAACACGUGGGCAACCUGCCUGUAAGACUGGGAUAACUUCGGGAAACCGAAGCUAAUACCGGAUAGGAUCUUCUCCUUCAUGGGAGAUGAUUGAAAGAUGGUUUCGGCUAUCACUUACAGAUGGGCCCGCGGUGCAUUAGCUAGUUGGUGAGGUAACGGCUCACCAAGGCAACGAUGCAUAGCCGACCUGAGAGGGUGAUCGGCCACACUGGGACUGAGACCGGCCCAGACUCCUAC